rnacentral:rRNA from 1 species
UACGUAGGGGGCGAGCGUUGUCCGGAUUUAUUGGGCGUAAAGAGCGUGUAGGCGGCCAGGUAGGUCUGCUGUGAAAACUCGAGGCUCAACCUCGAGACGUCGGCGGAAACCAUCUGGCUAGAGUCCGGAAGAGGAGAGUGGAAUUCCUGGUGUAGCGGUGAAAUGCGUAGAUAUCAGGAAGAACACCAAUGGCGAAAGCAGCUCUCUGGGACGGUACUGACGCUGAGACGCGAAAGCGUGGGGAGCAAACAGG